rnacentral:rRNA from 1 species
GACGAACGCUGGCGGCGUGCUUAACACAUGCAAGUCGAACGGAAAGGCCCUGCUUUUGUGGGGUGCUCGAGUGGCGAACGGGUGAGUAACACGUGAGUAACCUUCCCUUGACUUUGGGAUAACUUCAGGAAACUGGGGCUAAUACCCGAUAGGAGCUCCUGCUGCAUGGUGGGGGUUGGAAAGUUUCGGCGGUUGGGGAUGGACUCGCGGCUUAUCAGCUUGUUGGUGGGGUAGUGGCUUACCAAGGCUUUGACGGGUAGCCGGCCUGAGAGGGUGACCGGCCACAUUGGGACUGAGAUACGGCCCAGACUCCUACGGGAGGCAGCAGUGGGGAAUAUUGCACAAUGGGCGGAAGCCUGAUGCAGCAACGCCGCGUGCGGGAUGACGGCCUUCGGGUUGUAAACCGCUUUCGCCUGUGACGAAGCGUGAGUGACGGUAAUGGGUAAAGAAGCACCGGCUAACUACGUG